GCGGCGCCCCCCCCCCCUCACCGGCGCUGAGGCGACUCGCGCCCCCUCUCUCCCCCUCCCUCACCGGCGCUGAGGGGACCCUCAACUCCGCUCGCCCCUCCGCUGCCGAUCAGAAUGACUACCCCGAACAAGACACCACCCGGUGCUGAUCCAAAGCAGUUAGAGAGGACUGGUACUGUUAGAGAAAUAGGCUCACAAGCAGUUUGGUCUCUUUCAUCCUGUAAGCCAGGAUUUGGAGUGGAUCAGUUACGAGAUGAUAAUCUUGAGACUUACUGGCAGUCAGAUGGAUCACAGCCUCAUUUGGUCAACAUCCAAUUUAGAAGAAAAACAACAGUGAAGACAUUAUGUAUUUAUGCAGACUACAAAUCUGAUGAAAGCUACACUCCAAGCAAAAUCUCUGUCAGAGUAGGAAAUAAUUUUCAUAAUCUCCAGGAAAUCCGGCUUCAGCAUACUAUCUGCCAAGCUCAAGGGAAGUAACUGAGAUUCACAUUGGAGCCAAGUCCCUGUAGGUCUGAAGGAUUUCCCCUGAUAGCGGGAGUCUUCCCAAAGUCUAAUAGCGGUGCAUCUGUGAAGCAACUUGAAUUAGUGGAACCGAGCGGCUGGAUUCAUGUUCCUUUAACAGACACGCAUAAGAAGCCUAUUCGCACAUUUAUGAUUCAGAUUGCGGUUCUGGCUAAUCACCAAAAUGGAAGAGACACUCACAUGAGACAAAUCAAAGUGUACACCCCGGUGGAAGAGAGCUCUAUUGGUAAAUUUCCUAGAUGUACAACAAUUGAUUUCAUGAUGUAUCGCUCCAUAAGAUAAAAUUUCUUAAUGAGAAAUAAAGGCAUUUUUUGAUGGCCGUAUCAUUGCUUAAGUAUCCAAAUACUUAGAGCAGGGUUUAUUUCGGUGUAAUUAUAUGUUUAUGUUUAUACUUUGUAUGAUUUUGAAAUAAAGAUAAUACUGUGCUACAGUA